rnacentral:misc_RNA from 1 species
GAUGAAGAACGUAGCGCACUGCGAUCCGUACUGUGAAUUGCAGCAUUCAGUGAAUCAUCGAGUCUUUGAACGCACAUUGCGCCCCCUGGUAUUCCGGGGGGCAUGCCUGUCCGAGCGUCAUUGCUGCCCUCAAGCACGGCUUGUGUGUUGGGCCUCCGUCCUCCUCCCGGGGGACGGGCCCGAAAGGCAGCGGCGGCACCGCGUCCGGUCCUCGAGCGUAUGGGGCUUCGUCACCCGCUCUUGUAGGCCCGGCCGGCGCUUGCCGACACAUCAAUCUUUUUUCCAGGUUGACCUCGGAUCAGGUAGGGAUACCCGCUGAACUUAAGCAUAUCAAUAAGCGGAGGA